UCCUGUCUGAAUAUGGGGGGACCAUCCUCCAAGGCUAAAUACUCCUGACUGACCGAUAGUGAACCAGUACCGUGAGGGAAAGGCGAAAAGAACCCCGGCGAGGGGAGUGAAAAAGAACCUGAAACCGUGUACGUACAAGCAGUGGGAGCACGCUUAGGCGUGUGACUGCGUACCUUUUGUAUAAUGGGUCAGCGACUUAUAUUCUGUAGCAAGGUUAACCGAAUAGGGGAGCCGAAGGGAAACCGAGUCUUAACUGGGCGUUAAGUUGCAGGGUAUAGACCCGAAACCCGGUGAUCUAGCCAUGGGCAGGUUGAAGGUUGGGUAACACUAACUGGAGGACCGAACCGACUAAUGUUGAAAAAUUAGCGGAUGACUUGUGGCUGGGGGUGAAAGGCCAAUCAAACCGGGAGAUAGCUGGUUCUCCCCGAAAGCUAUUUAGGUAGCGCCUCGUGAAUUCAUCUCCGGGGGUAGAGCACUGUUUCGGCAAGGGGGUCAUCCCGACUUACCAACCCGAUGCAAACUGCGAAUACCGGAGAAUGUUAUCACGGGAGACACACGGCGGGUGCUAACGUCCGUCGUGAAGAGGGAAACAACCCAGACCGCCAGCUAAGGUCCCAAAGUCAUGGUUAAGUGGGAAACGAUGUGGGAAGGCCCAGACAGCCAGGAUGUUGGCUUAGAAGCAGCCAUCAUUUAAAGAAAGCGUAAUAGCUCACUGGUCGAGUCGGCCUGCGCGGAAGAUGUAACGGGGCUAAACCAUGCAC
rnacentral:rRNA from 1 species